UACGGAGGGGGCUAGCGUUGCUCGGAAUCACUGGGCGUAAAGCGCACGUAGGCGGGUCCUUAAGUCAGGGGUGAAAUCCCGGAGCUCAACUCCGGAACUGCCUUUGAUACUGGGGAUCUUGAGUCCGGAAGAGGUGAGUGGAACUCCGAGUGUAGAGGUGAAAUUCGUAGAUAUUCGGAAGAACACCAGUGGCGAAGGCGGCUCACUGGUCCGGUACUGACGCUGAGGUGCGAAAGCGUGGGGAGCAAACAGG
rnacentral:rRNA from 1 species